GACGAACGCUGGCGGCGUGCUUAACACAUGCAAGUCGAACGGUGAACCUCUUCGGAGGGGAUCAGUGGCGAACGGGUGAGUAACACGUAGGCAACCUGCCCCCGGCUCUGGGAUAACUCCAAGAAAUUGGGGCUAAUACCGGAUGUUCACCGCUUCCCGCAUGGGUGGUGGUGGAAAGGGUUUCCGGCUGGGGAUGGGCCCGCGGCCUAUCAGCUUGUUGGUGGGGUAGUGGCCUACCAAGGCGACGACGGGUAGCCGGCCUGAGAGGGUGACCGGCCACACUGGGACUGAGACACGGCCCAGACUCCUACGGGAGGCAGCAGUGGGGAAUAUUGCGCAAUGGGCGGAAGCCUGACGCAGCGACGCCGCGUGGGGGAUGACGGCCUUCGGGUUGUAAACCUCUUUCAGCAGGGACGAAGCGCAAGUGACGGUACCUGCAGAAGAAGCACCGGCCAACUACGUG
rnacentral:rRNA from 1 species